rnacentral:rRNA from 1 species
CAGUAGCCACGGUAAUACAGAGGAUGCAAGCGUUGUCCGGAAUUAUUGGGCGUAAAGGGCUCGCAGGCGGUUUCUUAAGUCUGAUGUGAAAGCCCCCGGCUCAACCGGGGAGGGUCAUUGGAAACUGGGAAACUUGAGUGCAGAAGAGGAGAGUGGAAUUCCACGUGCAGCGGUGAAAUGCGUAGAGAUGUGGAGGAACACCAGUGGCGAAGGCGACUCUCUGGUCUGUAACUGACGCUGAGGAGCGAAAGCGUGGGGAGCGAACAGGAUUAGAUACCCCUGUAGUCCCUGUCUCUUAUAA